GUUAUACAUGUUUUUUAGAUAAGAUGUUGUGGAUGUUAUGUUACAUUCCAGAAAAACAUUCAUAACAUAACAUCUAAGAAACAUUCAUAACAUCGACAACAUCGUAUCCAAAAAUUGAUUGAUAGAAUAACAUCCACAAAAUUCUAUCCUUCACACAAAAUCAAAACAAUCCAUGUUUCGCUCCCGCUUUCUUAACCCAUAACUCACGAGUGUGUGGCUGAAGUCCUAACCACAUUUUCCUAAUAUCAACACUUUCACCAAAAAGCAAAAGCGCCAUUUGAUAUUUAGCAUCAAUUUCUCUUCAUCCCAAUAUCCUCAACUUCUCCAUGCAUGCAUUCGUAUCAUUAGAAAGAUUGUAUUUCUCAAUCAACAUCUUUGCCACCUUGGUGCUUUGUGUUGCUCACAAUCCAUGCUGCCUGAAAACCAAAAAUGUUAAAUACUAAAGGGGUAUGGUCCAUAACACCCCGCGAGCCCGACCAUACCCACACUUAAUCCAGAAACACUCAGCUAGUCGCAACGUUCCAAUGCAGACUACUCCCGCGGGCGCGAUGCUAUGCCAGCACAGAGGAAACACAUAGCACGGGGUGAAGGGACCUGCGACCAAUCAGCGUCCGCAAGCUACUGUACCGGAAGAUCCCCACGAUGUGCAAUCGUGCAAAAAACAAGAAGUACAGACGACAAUGAUGUCUGGACAAUCAACGUGCGCCACAACAGAAUCUCUCAUCCACCUCCACCAACGACGGACGACGACGAGACAAGGACAUUCCGAAAUCAACAUGUAGCCAAUUACGGUGCAAGACCGUACUUGUACCUCUACGGGCACUAACUAUCACGACAGAUGGGACCAAAGGGAUAUUCCUUGACGUUGACAUCUUGUCCAAUCAGCCUCUCUCCUUCUCCAACCAUUCGAAUAUAAAUACCACACUCCAAUAGUUUAAUGAUUCCGAUCUCAUUACUCUCGCUCUCACUGCAUACUCUCCAGAAAGAACUUUGCUUAUUCUCACGCUAAAAAACGGUUACGAGAAGAACCCCCCACAUGUCCUUAUCGUAACGAUUGUCACGGUGGUUCUAGUUUUCCGGAUUCAUCUCCAAUGGAUUUGAGCUCAUGAAGAUCAGAAGAGAAAGCCCCCCAGUCGAAACAUUCUUGGUUUAUCCCCCGAGGAUCAGACUAGUGUUUCCUUAAUACCAUGUUAAUAUGUAUGAUUGAAAGUCAUGUAUGUAAAAAUAAACUUGUGUACAUACUCAACUAAGGAAAUGCUAGUCUAUAAUAAUGCCUCGUAA